CUUAAAUUUUUAUCUUUGAAUUGAAUAAAAUUCCUUCAGUUUGUUUAAAUAUCCUAGUUGAACAGAAAAUACAAAUUAUUUUUCCCUAAUAAAAUUUUAUUUCCAUUUCCUAUAUUUACUGUCACAAAGGUGGAUAUCCAUCUACUUCCUAGAUGAAAUUAUACCAUAUAAGUUAGCCUAUAUUUAACAGCUUUGUUAGAAGAAUAGGGGACACAUAUAAAAAUAGAAACUUUUCUAUUUGUUGGAAACUGGCACUAAAAUUGACCAGAUAUCCCCUUUUUAAAAAAUUCUAAAUCUGUUUUAUGUACAUAUGCACAUAUGCAUACAUACACAUUAAAUUAUCAAGCACUUAACUUCUAGGCACUGAGGAUACAAGGAUUCAAGUAGCUUUCCUUUUCUCAAAAUAGGCAAUAUGCACAUAUAUAAGCACUUAGAGAAUUACAUUGUAGUUUUGAGAGGCACAACACUAUUAACUGAAGAGAUAAGGAAAGUCACUUCAGUAGUACGUAUGGAGGACAGAUUUAAAUGAAGAAAAACUUGAGGUAGGAGAACAAUUAGGAAGGUAUUGGAUUAGUUCAAGCAAAAAAUAAAGAUCUGAAUUAAAGUGGUAACUCUGAGCAGUGAGGAAAAGAUAUGUGUAAAAGAUCAAGUAGACAUAUAAAUGGCAAUAUUUGACAAUUGUUUGAAUAUCUAAAAUGAGGAAGAGUGAAGAGUCUAUGAUGAUGCAAACCUUGUGAAAUAGAUACUUCAAAAGAAGUAGGGGAAGUUUAGGAAAGGGAAUGAAUUGAUAGUGGGUGGAGGGAGAAAGUUAAUGUCUGUGAGACACCCAUUUAAAAAUGUCUAAUAGGCAGUUGAUGGGAUAGUAAUAGAAUUUUAAGAUAUGUAAGUCUUGAAAACGCCAUGAUGAUAGAACCUAUUGGGAACUGUUAAGAUCACCAACCUAGAAAGUGAAAGAAAAGAGUGACCAAAAAAGAGCCUUGGGAUAUAACCAUACUUAAAGAACUUAAUAUAGAUAAUGAUCCAGCAAAAUAAACUGUGAAAAAUGGCCAGGUAGGAGAAGAACAUGGAUGGAGAAUAGUGCCAACAAAAACCUAAAGAAGAGAACAUCCAGGAGAGUAGGGGUGAUCCACAGAAUCAAGUGCCUUUCAAGAGAUCAAGAAGGAUGAGGUUUGUGAAAAAUGUCAUAUUUAAUAUUCAUUUAAGAAAUCAUUAGUGACUUAGAAGAGAACAAUUUCAAUUGAAUGAUAAGAAAAGAAGACUGACUGAUUUAAAAGGAUUGAGGAGUAAGUGAGGGGAGAGACAGAUUUUAUACAGCUUUUUCUAGGGGAUUGGCUGAAAAAUAAAGGAAAGGAGUUAUAAGAUGACAGUUUGAAGGGUUGGUAAGUUGUAGUGAAGUUUUUUUAGGAUAAGUUUUUUAGGUCUUAGUCAUGAGAUUGGAGAAAGACCAAAUAAUUGUCAGAAAACAGUUUGCUGGAGAAAGUGGAAAAUAAUGGGAUCAAAACUACAUAUAUUAGGAGUUGACCUUUAUAAAGAAAAGGAGACCUGAUUUCCAGAGAAUGGAGGAAAGGAGAUUGGGAAAUGAUGGCAAGAGGUUUUGAGGUAUAUCAAAAUGAAGAGGAGGGAGCUCAUGGUGAACCAGAACCAUUUUUAUUUCCUCAAUAAAGUAUGAGAUCACACAUCAUCAGAAUACUUAGAGAGGAAGGAGACUUGAGAAAAUUUGGAACAGUCUUUGUGGUGUAUUUUAGAGAAUCAGAAAUAAAAGGAGUACCAUAUUGCAGUGAGGGCCCAAUUGUGGUCACAAAUUUGUAAUGUAACCAAUCAGUUCAAUUGAAUGACUUCUUUCAAUCUUAUAUAGCAACUUAAGAUAGGACAAGGAAAAAAUGAGGCAAUUGAUUGGUGUAAUCUAGAGCUAGGAUUUGUCAAGACUAAGUAACAAAAAGAGGUAAGAAAUUUGGGUAAAGAAUUCGAGCCAGAACGUUCAGUACUGUGUCAUAAAUUUACAAAGUAAAAUUCAGGUGAGAGAAGAUGAGGGAUGGAAGCAAAGAAUGAAAGAGAAUGUAAUAAUAGAGCAUAGGGGAUAUUUUAAUUUCCUUCCAAGACCAGUCUUAGGGACACUCAGUGCUGGAGAUAUAUAGGCCAGGGGUAUAAAAUAAUCUGUCAUAGAUGUCUUUGUAUGUAGGUGUUUUUUAGAAAUAGGUAAAGGAAAAAUUUUAUAUCAUUAAAGUGAAGGUACAUUAUAAUAAUCAUAUUUAUUCUCCUUGAAGCUGGAAGGAGUUUACAUUGAUUAUCAAUAUAGAAAUUAGUUAUAGAAUUGGCCUGUAAAUUCUCCAUCAUUCAAAAAUGAGCAAAUCAAAAAUUUAGAGCAGAAAAAUAGAAUUUCCUUUUUUGCAACGGGUUUGCUGCCAGAACACAGGUGUUAUGACAACCAUUGCUAAACCUCCACAGAAAUGGGCAAGAAAAAGACUCACAUUAACAUUAACAUCAUUGGACACAUAGACUCUGGCAAGUCCACCACUACUAGUCACCUCAUCUACAAAUGUGGUGAGGUUGAUAAGAGAACCAUUGAGAAGUUCAAGAAGGAAGCUACUGAGAUGGUAAAGGGCUCCUUCAAAUAUGCCUGGGUAUUGGAUAAACUGAAAGCUGAAUGUGAAUGUCGUAUCACUAUUGAUAUCUCCCUGUGGAAAUUUGAGAACAGCAAAUACUAUGUGACUAUUAUUGAUGCUCCGGGACACAGAGACUUUAUCAAAAACAUGAUUACAGGUAUAUCUCAGGCUGACUAUCCUGUCCUGAUUGUUGCUGCUGGUGUUGGUGAAUUUGAAGCUGAUAUCUCAAAGGAUGGGCAAACCUCUGAGCAUACCCUUCCGGCCUACACAUUAGGUGUGAAACAACUGAUUGUUGGUGUAAACAAAAUGGAUUCCACUGAGCCACCCUACAGCCAGAAGAGAUACAAGGAAAUUGUUAAGGAAGUCAGUACCUAUAACAAGAAAAUUGAUACCCUGAUAUAGUGGUUAUGUGCCAAUUUCAGGAUGAAUGGUGACAACAUGCUGGAGCUAAGCUCUAAUAUGCCUUGGUUUAAGAGAUGGAAAGUCACCCGUAAGGAUGAGAAUACUAAUGGAACUACACUGCUGGAAGCUUUAGAUUGUAUCCUGUCAUGAACUUGUCCAACUGAUAAACGCCUUUGUCUACCCCUCCAAAAUGUCUACAAGAUUGGUGGUAUUUGGUACUGUACCUGUUGGCCAUGUGGAAGCUGGUGUUCUGAAACCAGGCAUGGUUGUCACCUUUGCCCCAGUCAAUGUUACAACUAAAGUAAAGUCUGUUGAAAUGCACCAUGAAGCUUUGACUGAGGCUCUGCCUGGGGAUAAUGUUAGUUUCAAUGUCAAGAACAUGUCUGUCAAAGAUGUCUGUUGUGGUAGUGUGGCUGGUGACAGUAAGAAUGACCCACCUAUGGAAGCUGCUGGUUUCACUGCACAGGUCAUUAUCCUGAACCAGUCAAAUCAGUGCUGGCUAUGUACCUGCUCUGGAUUAUCACACUGCUCACAUUGCUUGCAAGUUUGCUGAACUGAAGGAGAAGAUUGAUUGUUGUUCUGGUAAGAAGCUGGAAGAUGGCCCUAAAUUCCUGAAAUUUGGUGAUGCUGCCAUCGUUGACAUAUUUUCAGACAAGCCUGUGUGUGUGGAGAGCUUUUCUGAUUAUCUUCCUCUGGGUCAUUUUGCUAUUUGAUAUAAGGCAGAUUGUUGCAGUUGGUGUCAUGAAGGCAGUUGACAAGAAGGUUGCUGGAGCUGACAAAGUCACAAAAUCUGCCCAGAAGGCUAAAUGAAUAUCUGUUACCCCAGUCUUAAUCAGUGGUGGAAGAACAGUCUCAAAACUGUUUGUCUCAAUUGGCCAUUUAAGUUUAAUAGUAAAAGACUGGUUAAUGAUUACAAUGCAUUGUAAAAGCUUCAGAAGGAAAGGAAUGUUUUUGUGGACCAUUUGUUUUGUGGCAGUUUUAAGUUAUUAGUUUUUAAAGUCAGUAAUUUUUAAAUGGAAACAACUUGACCAAAAAUCUGUCACAGAAUUUUGAGACCAUUAAAACAGUUUAAUGCAAAAAAAAAAAAAA